ensembl:lncRNA
AGACCACAGAAAAAUUGUGCGUAUUUAUGCAAAUUAAUGAAGAUGGUGCUUAGUUAUGUUACCAGGUUGAGCCUCGUUAAGAGAGAAAAGAAGUCCCUGGACUAUAAGUCAUCAUCAUACUGUAGGAUGUAAAAGUUUUCAGUGUUCAUUCAAGCUGGCAAAGGGAUUUAUGGAAUGAAAAACCCAAUGCUGACCUUGGUAUUGCAGUAAAGCUUGUGAUAAUGUCAUGCGUGGAGAAAAGAGCUCAACUUGCAGGUAUUCCCAGUCUGCAGGUCUUCCAGAAAUGGAGCAAGGCAUCCCAGUGCUACUCAGUUUGAUGAGAGAACAAAGUGAUCUACUCAUGACAGCCAUCAUCUCUGGGAUAAUGAAGCAAACAUGGAUGGUUCCUUGGCUAGUGCACCCUUGCACAAUUUCAUCUCUUGUCAAGAGCUUACUGUGGAAAUGUGUGGCUGAGCAAAUACUACCUCAGACUACUGCACAAUGCCAACAGCUGUUGAGUUCUGGGUCACAGAGUUUUCUUUACUGUUUUUAUGAACUCUUUGAUGGAGAUGGCAUGUUA